rnacentral:rRNA from 1 species
AGUGAACGCUGGCGGUAGGCCUAACACAUGCAAGUCGAACGGCAGCACAGGAGAGCUUGCUCUCUGGGUGGCGAGUGGCGGACGGGUGAGGAGUACAUCGGAAUCUACCUUUUCGUGGGGGAUAACGUAGGGAAACUUACGCUAAUACCGCAUACGACCUACGGGUGAAAGUGGGGGACCGCAAGGCCUCACGCGAUUAGAUGAGCCGAUGUCCGAUUAGCUAGUUGGCGGGGUAAUGGCCCACCAAGGCGACGAUCGGUAGCUGGUCUGAGAGGAUGAUCAGCCACACUGGAACUGAGACACGGUCCAGACUCCUACGGGAGGCAGCAGUGGGGAAUAUUGGACAAUGGGCGCAAGCCUGAUCCAGCCAUACCGCGUGGGUGAAGAAGGCCUUCGGGUUGUAAAGCCCUUUUGUUGGGAAAGAAAUCCUGUCGAUUAAUACUCGGUGGGGAUGACGGUACCAAAGAAUAAGCACCGGCUAACUUCGUGCCAGCAGCCGCCGUAA